rnacentral:rRNA from 1 species
GUGCUUGCGGCAUGCUAUACAUGCAGUCGAGCGAACAGAUAAGGAGCUUGCUCCUUUGACGUUAGCGGCGGACGGGUGAGUAACACGUGGGUAACCUACCUAUAAGACUGGGAUAACUUCGGGAAACCGGAGCUAAUACCGGAUAACAUUUGGAACCGCAUGGUUCUAAAGUGAAAGAUGGUUUUGCUAUCACUUAUAGAUGGACCCGCGCCGUAUUAGCUAGUUGGUAAGGUAACGGCUUACCAAGGCGACGAUACGUAGCCGACCUGAGAGGGUGAUCGGCCACACUGGAACUGAGACACGGUCCAGACUCCUACGGGAGGCAGCAGUAGGGAAUCUUCCGCAAUGGGCGAAAGCCUGACGGAGCAACGCCGCGUGAGUGAUGAAGGGUUUCGGCUCGUAAAACUCUGUUAUUAGGGAAGAACAAACGUGUAAGUAACUGUGCACGUCUUGACGGUACCUAAUCAGAAAGCCACGGCUAACUACGUGCCAGCAGCCGCGGUAAUACGUAGGUGGCAAGCGUUAUCCGGAAUUAUUGGGCGUAAAGCGCGCGUAGGCGGUUUCUUAAGUCUGAUGUGAAAGCCCACGGCUCAACCGUGGAGGGUCAUUGGAAACUGGGAAACUUGAGUGCAGAAGAGGAAAGUGGAAUUCCAUGUGUAGCGGUGAAAUGCGCAGAGAUAUGGAGGAACACCAGUGGCGAAGGCGACUUUCUGGUCUGUAACUGACGCUGAUGUGCGAAAGCGUGGGGAUCAAACAGGAUUAGAUACCCUGGUAGUCCACGCCGUAAACGAUGAGUGCUAAGUGUUAGGGGGUUUCCGCCCCUUAGUGCUGCAGCUAACGCAUUAAGCACUCCGCCUGGGGAGUACGACCGCAAGGUUGAAACUCAAAGGAAUUGACGGGGACCCGCACAAGCGGUGGAGCAUGUGGUUUAAUUCGAAGCAACGCGAAGAACCUUACCAAAUCUUGACAUCCUUUGAAAACUCUAGAGAUAGAGCCUUCCCCUUCGGGGGACAAAGUGACAGGUGGUGCAUGGUUGUCGUCAGCUCGUGUCGUGAGAUGUUGGGUUAAGUCCCGCAACGAGCGCAACCCUUAAGCUUAGUUGCCAUCAUUAAGUUGGGCACUCUAGGUUGACUGCCGGUGACAAACCGGAGGAAGGUGGGGAUGACGUCAAUCAUAUGCCCCUAUGAUUUGGGCUACCCCCUGCUCCAUGGGCAAUAAAAGGGCGCUAACCGCGGGUCUGCAAUCCCCAAAAUGUUUUCCUUCGAAUGGAUCUGCAACCCGCUCCUGAAGUGGAACCCUGAAUCUAGAUAAAAGCCCGGGAAAAAUUCCGGGUUUGUAACCGCCGCC